GCCGGAGGAUGCAAGCGUUAUCCGGAAUUAUUGGGCGUAAAGCGUCCGCAGGUGGCUGUUCAAGUCUGCUGUCAAAGCGCAGAGCUUAACUCUGUACAGGCGGUGGAAACUGAAGAGCUAGAGUAUGGUAGGGGUAGAGGGAAUUCCCGGUGUAGCGGUGAAAUGCGUAGAUAUCGGGAAGAACACCAGUGGCGAAAGCGCUCUACUGGGCCAUAACUGACACUGAGGGACGAAAGCUAGGGGAGCGAAAGGG
rnacentral:rRNA from 1 species